GAUGAACGCUGGCGGCGUGCCUAAUACAUGCAAGUCGAGCGAACAGAUGAGGAGCUUGCUCCUCUGACGUUAGCGGCGGACGGGUGAGUAACACGUGGAUAACCUACCUAUAAGACUGGGAUAACUUCGGGAAACCGGAGCUAAUACCGGAUAAUAUAUUGAACCGCAUGGUUCAAUAGUGAAAGACGGUUUUGCUGUCACUUAUAGAUGGAUCCGCGCCGCAUUAGCUAGUUGGUAAGGUAACGGCUUACCAAGGCAACGAUGCGUAGCCGACCUGAGAGGGUGAUCGGCCACACUGUAACUGAGACACGGUCCAGACUCCUACGGGAGGCAGCAGUAGGGAAUCUUCCGCAAUGGGCGAAAGCCUGACGGAGCAACGCCGCGUGAGUGAUGAAGGUCUUCGGAUCGUAAAACUCUGUUAUUAGGGAAGAACAAAUGUGUAAGUAACUAUGCACGUCUUGACGGUACCUAAUCAGAAAGCCACGGCUAACUACGUG
rnacentral:rRNA from 1 species